GAUGAACGCUGGCGGCGUGCCUAAUACAUGCAAGUCGAGCGAACAGACGAGGAGCUUGCUCCUCUGACGUUAGCGGCGGACGGGUGAGUAACACGUGGAUAACCUACCUAUAAGACUGGGAUAACUUCGGGAAACCGGAGCUAAUACCGGAUAAUAUAUUGAACCGCAUGGUUCAAUAGUGAAAGACGGUUUUGCUGUCACUUAUAGAUGGAUCCGCGCCGCAUUAGCUAGUUGGUAAGGUAACGGCUUACCAAGGCAACGAUGCGUAGCCGACCCGAGAGGGGGGUCCGCCCCCCUGGAACUUGGACACGGGCCCGACCCCUACGGGAGGCCGCCGUGUGGAAUUUUGCCCAAUGGGCGCAAACCUUACCGAGCCAACCCGCGUGGGUGAAGAAGGUCUUCCGGUUGUAAAGCCCUUUUUUUGGGGAAGAAAAGAAUUUGGAUAUAACCACGCCGUUCUGACGGUACCCAAAGAAGAAGCCCCGGCUAACUUCGUG
rnacentral:rRNA from 1 species